AUUUUCAGGUAUGCAAAAAAGCUCAAAUUUCAUCUAAAUUGUAUACAAUUCAAAUUAUGCUAUCGAUUUCCUCAGUGUCACGUUACCUAAUUUAGUUCAGCAGAGGAAUGUUGCUAAGGUGUACUGCUUAAUUGAAAUUGCUUCCUGAGGCACGAUUGUAUUAUGAGCAAGAGAGAGAUGAUCUUUUGAUCAAUUUGAUCAUAGGGAGAGAUUUGAUUCCAUCAGAGAAUUUCAUGGGCGCUCAAGGGAGAGAAUGUUGGAGGCUUGGAUCCAAUUUGGGAGCUGAUGACCAAAGAGGUGGGGAUCUCCGAAACUAUCCUAUGUAACAUCGUAGGGUUAUUGAUUGUCACGAGUGACACGCUUCUUGUAAAGGAACAAUACUUAUUUUCUGGCAGACAGAAUCCGAGAAAUGCCUUGAAAACUAGGGAAUCCGUGGCUUUUUGGGAGAUUGAACUUUGAAGUGCGUAGUGACAGAGUUGGAUCAUUCAGCAAGUAUGGGAAUUUUUUACGUCCAAACAGGACCGGACAGCAAUAUGUGGAAAAAAGGCAGCCUAAACAGAAGUUUUUUUCAUCUGAAGUCUCUGGGAAACUAGUUUCAAGGAAGAAGAGAUCUACAGCGGAGAAGUGUAAUGUGUUUUCUGGGCCGAAAAACUCUUGAUGAAAUCAGAGAAGGGAAGAGAAAAGCCAAAGAGAGGGGCAAUACUUUCAGCAGGCCUGGGAAUUCAAGCAGAACGACAUCAGAAGAGUUUCAGGGUCCUAAACCCGAGUGAAAUCCUCAAGGAAAGAAAGAACCUCCCUUUGUAAUGUUACUUCUCUAGCUUUUUUCCUCCUAAGGAAAUUUGUAAGGUCUGUUAGCAGAGGUAAUAGAGUCCUGGGUUGGACAGCCUAUUUUAUUGGUAUAUAUAAAGACAUGGAAUGCUAAGAUGUCAAUUUUGAGUUUGAAAGUCAAAUUGCAACGUUGUCGAUUGAAUGAAUGAUUUGGCUUGCCUUCAUCUACAGAGUACCCUAUUAUUGUUGCUAAGGAUUUGUGCUACAUUGUCUUCUCUUUGAAAUAAUUAGGUUUCAGAUUA